rnacentral:tRNA from 1 species
GCGGGCGUGGCGGAACGGUAGACGCUGCGGACUUAAAAUCCGCUGGCCGCAAGGCCGUGGGGGUUCGAGUCCCCCCGCCCGCACCA